CCCGACGUUGAAUCUUUAUAAAUUUUAGGGGAAGUUUCGCACUUCCUCCAUUCUUGCCUCGAAGAAAAUGGAAAAUUCCAUGUCUGUAGCUGAAGGAAGGAAAGCAUCAGCUUUGUUUUUUUCCUCUAAUGACGGAAAGCAUCAGAACUGAGCUCUGUUCCGGAGAGAGAAAGCCUUCUUACUCUUCCUCUUCCUCUUGGCUCCUCCAUUUGACCAUAUUGUCUAAAACCUUAUUCCUGUUCGGAAG
rnacentral:lncRNA from 1 species